CAGGCCUUAUGCCCAGGUUGCCGAAGGUCGAAAAGCAAUACCGGAUAUCAGUGGCACAUCACGCUCUAACAGUAAAGUCACGCGGAAUCAGUUAUUCGUCACAUCCCACUUCGAAUGGCACUGCUUCUCUUGACUCUAAACAAGGAUCUGUUUUAGGGUGAUGGUUUUAUCGCCGAACUUGAGUUACAAUGUUUGACGAACUCUUGCUGUUGUGCAUUGAAAGAUUGGGCAGAGGAGCGGGAUUUACUGUACGUUUUUUACAAGGAAUUGUUUCAUACGAAUACUGGGAUUUUCACGUCGCAGCAAAGCAUAUCUGUCUUUUUCAAACCCCCUUAUGUCGCGCUCUUCGACUGAGUAAUUUUCCAUGGCCCAGUGAACUGAUGACUGUAUACGGUAUGGCAGAAAGAGAUAAAGUUUUGAGAAACAUUUAUAUAUUGGGAAACUUCGUCGGUUUGGUCUUCUACCCUUUUGAAUUCCUUCUACUACUAAUGGAAUGUCAUCUGCUUGUUGGCUGGGAUUGGAUUGCUGUCCUCAACGUGAUUGGUUGGAUAGCGUGGUUAUCUACAGAGGUCAUCAAGUCAUCUCGGGAAGGCUACCUCGCACAAAAGCGUCUGGAUGAUGAACCUGAACCUAUAUUCUACCUCAUCCGGAAAAUGGCAAUCGUCGCUUUGACCAGAUGCAUGUUGGACUUAACCAUCGCUGUAAACUGGCUUCCGGGACAAGUGCUUUGGGCAGAAUUAGUUCCGGUCUCGUGGGUAGGUGGUCUUGGCGUGACGUCCACCGUGUUGUGUUUAUGCCACUUACAUAUGAUGAGAAAGCAACGAAAUAUGGACUAAAAUGAACAGACAUUUACAUUUCUCUAGUCCAACAUUCUGUGCAGAUUUCAAAAUGAAGUCGAUGGACUGAAGAAUUCUAAGCCGGAUAAAGACCAGAGAAACCCUUUAGCCAUUGGCUGGUAUUAGAGACACCUUGUUCCAAGCCUAAAACAUCGAUCCAACCAAGAGGAGAUUUCACGUUUUACGAGCUGAUCGGGAGCAGCAAGAUCCACCUUUGCACCCAAUGGGACACCAAGCACCAGGCUACCAAUUACAAUUAUAUUCAUGUUGGUAUUUCUUUGAGAAGACUUUUCUUAAGUUGUACAUUUUUAAUUCACAGAUUAUGAAAUAUGACGUAUAAAUAAU